AAGCUGGGAUCCUGCCCCUGCGACUGGGAUAACUUCGGGAAACCGGAGCUAAUACCGGAUAACACCGAAAACCGCAUGGUUUUCGGUUGAAAGGCGGCUUUUAGCUGUCACUGCAGGAUGGGCCCGCGGCGCAUUACCUAGUUGGUGAGGUAACGGCUCACCAAGGCGACAAUGCGUACCCGACCUGAAAGGGUGACCGGCCACCCUGGGACUGAGACACGGCCCGAACUCCUACGGAAGGCAGCAUUAGGGAAUCUUCCGCAAUGAACGAAAUUCUGACGGAGCAACCCCGCGUGAGCAAAGAGGGUCUUCGAAUCGUAAGGUUCUGUUGUCAGGAAAAAAAAGUACCGUUCAAACGGGCGGUACCUUGACGGUACCUGACGAGGGAGGCAGGGGCAACUCCGUGCAACGGCGCGGUAUUACGAGGGGGCAGGCGUUGUCCGAAAUAUUGGGCGUAAGCGCGCGCGGGCGUUCCUUAAGUCUAAUGUGAAUCUCCGGGCUCACCGCAAGCGCCAUUGGAAACUGGGGAACUAUAGUGCAGGAGAGGCGAGCGUAUUCCCCGUGUAGCGAGAAUGGCGUAAGAAAUGGGAGAACACAGUGGCGAGGCGCUCUCUGCCUGUACUGACGCUAGGCCAAGCUGGGGAGCACAGAAUAAACCUUGUAAUCCAGCCGUACC
rnacentral:rRNA from 1 species